rnacentral:rRNA from 1 species
GUCCAUGCCUUAAACGAUGUAUACUAGGAGUAAGAGGGCUCAACCCCCUUGUUCCGGAGCUAACGCAUUAAGUAUACCGCCUGGGGAGUACGCUCGCAAGGGUGAAACUCAAAAGAAUUGACGGGGCCCGCACAAGCAGUGGAGCAUGUGGUUUAAUUCGAUGCAACGCGAAGAACCUUACCUGGGCUAGAAGUGUAGAGGACGACAUCAGAGAUGAUGUUUCUCGAAAGGGUCUUUACAUAGGUGCUGCAUGGCUGUCGU